rnacentral:other from 1 species
AUUCGAAAGCAGGAUCCACUAAAACAAGAAUUAAAAC